AUUGAACGCUGGCGGCAGGCCUAACACAUGCAAGUCGAGCGGAGAUGAGGUGCUUGCACCUUAUCUUAGCGGCGGACGGGUGAGUAAUGCUUAGGAAUCUGCCUAUUAGUGGGGGACAACAUUCCGAAAGGAAUGCUAAUACCGCAUACGCCCUACGGGGGAAAGCAGGGGAUCUUCGGACCUUGCGCUAAUAGAUGAGCCUAAGUCGGAUUAGCUAGUUGGUGGGGUAAAGGCCUACCAAGGCGACGAUCUGUAGCGGGUCUGAGAGGAUGAUCCGCCACACUGGGACUGAGACACGGCCCAGACUCCUACGGGAGGCAGCAGUGGGGAAGAUUGGACAAUGGGCGGAAGCCUGAUCUAGCCAUGCCGCGUGUGUGAAGAAGGCCUUUUGGUUGUAAAGCACUUUAAGCGAGGAGGAGGCUACUUAGAUUAAUACUCUAGGAUAGUGGACGUUACUCGCAGAAUAAGCACCGGCUAACUCUGUGCCAGCCGCCGCCGUAACAC
rnacentral:rRNA from 1 species